rnacentral:rRNA from 1 species
CCUACGGGUGGCAGCAGUGAGGAAUAUUGGUCAAUGGACGAGAGUCUGAACCAGCCAAGUAGCGUGAAGGAUGACUGCCCUAUGGGUUGUAAACUUCUUUUAUAAAGGAAUAAAACGAGGCACGUGUGCCUUUUUGCAUGUACUUUAUGAAUAAGGAUCGGCUAACUCCGUGCCAGCAGCCGCGGUAAUACGGAGGAUCCGAGCGUUAUCCGGAUUUAUUGGGUUUAAAGGGAGCGUAGAUGGGUUGUUAAGUCAGUUGUGAAAGUUUGCGGCUCAACCGUAAAAUUGCAAUUGAUACUGGCAGUCGUGAGUACAGUUUAGGUAGGCGGAAGUCGUGGUGUAGCGGUGAAAUGCUUAGAUAUCACGAAGAACCCCGAUUGCGAAGGCAGCUUACUAAACUGUGACUGACAUUGAUGCUCGAAAGUGUGGGUAUCAAACAGGAUUAGAUACCCGGGUAGUC